GUCCACGCCGUAAACGAUGAAUGCCAGUCGUCGGGUAGCAUGCUAUUCGGUGACACACCUAACGGAUUAAGCAUUCCGCCUGGGGAGUACGGCCGCAAGGUUAAACUCAAAGGAAUUGACGGGGCCCGCACAAGCGGUGGAGCAUGUGGUUUAAUUCGAAGCAACGCGCAGAACCUUACCAACCCUUGACAUGUGUAUCGCGGAUCCAGAGAUGGAUCUUUCAGUUCGGCUGGAUACAACACAGGUGCUGCAUGGCUGUCGU
rnacentral:rRNA from 1 species